GAGGCUCAGUAGUUUUUUAAACUCAGAGAGGAGUCUGCCAUGAGAAACAUUACUAUGAUACCCUACUGGAGGGCUCUGUUUUGCUGGUGGCACUGAUGGGUGCACCAGGUUUGGAGGCCUGGGAUCAGAUUUCCUGGACCGGUCAGGUCACAGCUGGUUUCAGAACCACGUUCACCUGUUCCUCUUCAUGCCAACCAAACUGCAUCUACACCUGGUCCUUUAAGGGCCGCACGGUCAACGGGAGCAAAUUCACCUGGACGCCAGAUGGACUGGACAACACAGUAGAACUGCAAUGCAAUGUGCUCAAGACAGAAACAGGAGUCUCCGGCAGUUUUAUCUCCAUUGUAGAAAUUAAGAAUCGAGUGGCUGUGCAAAUCAGUCCACCAAACACUGUCCCGUCUCUCUAACCGGCCACUGGACCUGGUCUGCCUUGGUGCUCCAGCAGGUGACCCUUCACAGCUGGUGAACCGGGUGGUCUGGUACAAAGAUGGACAGAAGGUGACACUGGGUGAAAAUAUGGAGUUGCUGCAAAACAACCUCACACUUCACUUUGACUCACCGCUGCCUUCUGAUACUGGAUUCUACAUGUGUGAGAUGUAUGUGCCUACGUUUCAACAGACAAGACUGUUCAGCCUGGGCUAUCUACUCAGCUGUAAGUGAUCAAUAAGUG
rnacentral:lncRNA from 1 species